AUUGUAUAAUUAUUUCUCGAGUUAACAAGGGCUAAUGUACAUAGAUAGUGUUUACGUGGCAGUGUAAUUUGUUAGUGUAUUUUAGUGAUGAGAUAUUAAUCGGUUGUUGAGAUAUCUAGUUUUGUGCAAAAUAGAUUAUUCUAGUAAUGUUCGGAUUUUUAAGAUUAGUUAAAAGUUUUAUCAAUUAAUUUGGGGGGUUGAUUUUUGUUUGCUUUAAUGGUGAGUAUUAUAGUGUGUUAUAACAAAAAGUCAUAAAAUAAGGAUUAAAAGUUUAAUAUUGAAUUGUAGCAUAAUGUCAUAGUGAAAAUAUAGUUUUGAAUAAGAAUGAUAAAAUUAGUAUGUGUGUGUUAGAGCAAAAUGGGUUUUAUAAAAAGUAAAGUAGUUAAAAAUAAUGUUGGUAUAAAUAACUCGGCAAAUAAUGUUCUAAAAUGUUUAUCAAAAACAUUUCCUUUCGUGAUGAAAGGUAAAUCCUGCCCGGUGGUUAGUAAACGGCUGCGGUAUUUUGACCGUACGAAGGUAGCAUAAUAAAUAGUCUUUUAAUUGGGGACUGGUAUGAAUGGGUUAAUUAGGAACGGACUUUUUUGUAUAAAUUAACAAAAUUUUAUUAUCAAGUAAAAAGGCUUGGUUAAUGUAAAGUGACAAGAAGACCCUAAGAGUUUUAUAGCGAGUAUUUUAGUAUUUUCAGGCGAAGUAAGGGAGUUAAAGUGCUAGUAUAUUUAACUGGGGCGGUUAAAAUAGUAUCUAUUAUGUUUAUUACUUGAAUUAAAGUAGUGUAUAAGUGACUAUCCUAUGUAGGAAUACAAAAUAAAUUACCUUAGGGAUAACAGCAUAAUCUUUUUUAAGAGACCUUAUUGACAAAAAGGUUUGUGACCUCGAUGUUGGAUUCGAAUAACUUUUAGGAGCAGCGUUUAUAAAAGUUGGUCUGUUCGACCAUUAAA
rnacentral:rRNA from 1 species